AUUGAACGCUGGCGGCAUGCCUUACACAUGCAAGUCGAACGGCAGCACGGGUGCUUGCACCUGGUGGCGAGUGGCGAACGGGUGAGUAAUACAUCGGAACGUACCUUAUCGUGGGGGAUAACGCAGCGAAAGUUGCGCUAAUACCGCAUACGCCCUGAGGGGGAAAGCGGGGGACCGUAAGGCCUCGCGCGAUUAGAGCGGCCGAUGUCUGAUUAGCUUGUUGGUGAGGUAAAAGCUCACCAAGGCGAUGAUCAGUAGCUGGUCUGAGAGGACGAUCAGCCACACUGGGACUGAGAAACGGCCCAGACUCCUACGGGAGGCAGCAGUGGGGAAUUUUGGACAAUGGGGGCAACCCUGAUCCAGCAAUGCCGCGUGAGUGAAGAAGGCCUUCGGGUUGUAAAGCUCUUUUGUCAGGGAAGAAACAGCAGCUCUAACACAGUCUGCGAAUGACGGUACCUGAAGAAUAAGCACCGGCUAACUACGUG
rnacentral:rRNA from 1 species